rnacentral:lncRNA from 1 species
GGGAUCCCUGGGUGGCGCAGCGGUUUGGCGCCUGCCUUUGGCCCAGGGUGCGAUCCUGGAGACCCAGGAUCGAAUCCCACAUCGGGCUCCCUGCAUGGAGCCUGCUUCUCCCUCUGCCUAUGUCUCUGCCUCUCUCUCUCUCUCUCUGUGUGACUAUCAUGAAUAAAUAAAUAAAAUCUUUAAAAAAAAAAAAUAAAAAAAAAAAAUAAAACGUUUAUUAUGGGUAGCCCAGGUGGCUCAGCGGUUUAGUGCUGCCUUCAGCCCGGGGUGUAAUCCUGGAGACCCGGGAUCGAGUCCCACGUCCGGCUCCCUGCAUGGAGCCUGCUUCUCCCUCUGCCUGUGUCUUUGCCUCUCUCUCUCUCUAUGUGGGUCUCUCACAAAUAAAUAAAAUCUUUACAAAAAAUAAAACAUCUAUUAUGUCAGGCAUUGUGCUAGAUGGACUCUGUGAUGUGGUAAUAUGAUGAAGGGGAUGGGCAAAGCCAACAAGAAAUGUAGAUAUGGUGUGUAGAAUAACGGUUUCUGGCAGAACUGAAAAGACAACCAAGGCUUUUAGCAAAGUGCAGAGUGUCAAGAAAUGAGGUUAUUCUUUUAAAAAGUCCUGGUCAGCCAUGAUAAGGAGUAUGGACUCAAUCCCAAAAGCAAUGGGAGAGCCAUUUUAGGAGUUUAAAUUUCAGAGUCACAUGACUACACUUGCAUGUUAGCAAAUAUUCUCAGGCUGCAAUGUGGAAAUUGAAUCUAAGAAAAUAAGACUGGAGUUAAGCCAGUUAUGGAACUGAUACAGACUGAUGACAAUCUGGUCUAAAGGUCAUAGUGAAGAUGAAGAGAAGUAAAUGAAUUCUCACACUCAAAGGUAAGAAGCAGAGUGAACAGGACUUGGCAAAAUGUGCAAUGUACUAGAGAAGACAGGUAAGACCACAAGGUUUUUGGCUUGAAGCAUUGGGUGGAUGAUGGUGCUGCUUCCUAAAAUGCCCAAUCAAAAUCAAAUAGGAUCUAGAUUUUUUUUAAUUUAUUUUUUAUUGGUGUUCAAUUUACCAACAUACAGAAUAACCCCCAGUGCCCGUCACCCAUUCACUCCCACCCCCCAGGAUCUAGAUUUUGAAGAUCUAAAUCUUCAUAAGAAGAUCUUGCAAGGGAAGCCGAAAUGUGACCAGAGAGGAAAGGGAGAUUGUGGGAGCUGCGUGUUCAGUAAAGGAGAGAAGAGCCGUGAAGGCACGAGCUCGGGGGAUCAGCAUAAACCUCGGCGAUGAUCCUUCCCGAUCCUGGGAGCCAGAGCUCGGCCUCCUUUUGGGGCCCAACGUCGUAAAGAAGCCCGUGUGGUCAGUGGCUCGGAUGCAGGGUGGAGGCCGAAGGAGAAUCAGGAAGAACAAAAUAGGGGGGAAACCAGAAGCUGAAGGAGAGAACAGAUGUCAGCAUCCGGAGCCUUUGCGGGGACCCGGCGUCCUUUCCCAGGAGGGGCCCCCCUCUGUAGGGUGCUUCCCGCCACCCCGUGCUCCCCGUCGGCACCCGCAGGCACAUCCCCGGGCCUCCAGCGCCUCUGCAGCCGUGGUCUGUAGCAUCCUCCGUGUGUCCUACCGGGGACCCCAGCAUCGUGUCUGUACCCAUCUGGCUGCUGUCUGACAACAAUCGGGGGAUUCCGACGUUUGUUGGGUUUGGGGUGUGUGUGUCUGUCGCCGUGCCGCCAUCUGAUCCUCAGGCCGCGUCAUCCUGACGCCGAAAUGGUUGAAACACCAUCACUUCUGGUGCUGGCGCUGGGCGGCUAACUGGGUUCUCCUGGCCGACCCGG